rnacentral:rRNA from 1 species
UACGAAGGGGGCUAGCGUUGUUCGGAAUUACUGGGCGUAAAGGGCACGUAGGCGGUGUGUCAAGUCAGGCGUGAAAGCCCCGGGCUCAACCUGGGAAUGGCGAUGGAUACUGGCUCGCUAGAGUGCGGUAGAGGAGAGUGGAAUUCCCGGUGUAGCAGUGAAAUGCGUAGAUAUCACUUGGAACGCCAACGGUGAAAACAGCUCGCUGGGGGUAUCCUGACGCUGAGACGACGAAAGCCAGGGGAGCAAACGGG